rnacentral:rRNA from 1 species
CGCAGCCGCGGUAAUUCCAGCUCCAAUAGCGUAUAUUAAAGUUGUUGCAGUUAAAAAGCUCGUAGUUGAAUUUCGGGGUCAGUAGGUUGGUCGUGCCACUGGUAUGUACUGGCCUCACUGAUUCCUCCUUCUUGUAGAACCGUAAUGCCAUUAAUUUGGUGUUGCGGGGAAACAGGACUGUUACUUUGAAAAAAUUAGAGUGUUUAAAGCAGGCUAACGCUUGAAUACAUUAGCAUGGAAUAAUGAAAUAGGACGUUCGAUCCUAUUUUGUUGGUUUCUUAGGAUUGACGUAAUGAUUAAUAGGGAUAGCUGGGGGCAUUAGUAUUCAAUUGUCAGAGGUGAAAUUCUUGGAUUUAUUGAAGACUAACUACUGCGAAAGCAUUUGCCAAGGAUGUUUUCAUUAAUCAAGAACGAAAGUUAGGGGAUCGAAGACGAUCAGAUACCGUCGUAGUCUUAACCAUAAACUAUGCCGACUAGGGAUCGGAUGAUGUUAAUUUUAAUUGUACUCAUUCGGCGCCUU